rnacentral:ncRNA from 1 species
GAAAGAUCGGGCAGAUGCCCGGUUGGGGAUAUUUAAAAUCCCCCAAUCAAUUAGU